UCCAUACGAUUCUGCUUCUGCGUAUCCGCUUAUGUUUCCAUGUAACGUAGAUUUAAACUGAAAAUAAUAAUAUCAUACUAACAAACUAAUUUUUUUAACCGAAAUUUUAAAACAAAGCUUAAUAUUAACAAGCUUAAUAAAAAUCCAUAUGUUAAUAUUUGAUUCAACAUAAAAAUUAAAUUGGAUAUGCAAUAACCCUAAAUAAAAAUUUGAAAAAAUAACUUAAAAUAAAAAAAAAACAAAUUAUAUCAUAAAAUAUGUAUAGAUAUAGUAGUUUGUAUAUACAAUUACAUUACAUAUUUUUAAAUAUAUGGAUAGGAUUGGAUCUGGUAUCCGGCUUUCCAAGAAAAUGAUAUUUGUGAUUUGCUUCAUUUUUACGGAUAUCAUCUUUUAUAUUGGCUUUGAUUCGAAGCAUUACGGUUAUCCGGAUUUUUUGGAUCAAAUUGAAAUGAAUAACGAAUCGGUUCAAAUUUAACAGAUAAUUUGUCCGCCCUAGAUAUUAUAUACACAAUGGUUUUUUUUUAUCAAGGACAAUAAUUAAGACGCCUUAAUCGAGGUGUGAACAAAGUGAACGGCAUUCUUCUCCCACUUUAUUCUCAGUCAAUAAAAGAUAACUUAUAAAGGAAAAACAUAAGUAGCUUAUAAUAUAAUAUUUGACAUAUAUACUAAAACUCUACUAGAUAUAUACCUAUUAUAGAACUUCACUGAUUAAAGUAUAACAGCUAAUUUCUACACAACUCCCUUUUCUUUUGAGCCAGCCCUAUUUAAGUAAACGAAACUAGGAAUCCGAUGUGAAACAAAAUGCAUAAAAAAAUAUUUCAGUUUAGUAGAUGAAUGACUGAUGAGAAAUAUUUAAUUGGUACUGAUUUUUUUUUUUUUUUUCAUCAUAACUUCUUUGCUUUUCAUAUCAAAAAACUCAAACUUGUUAAAUAAACUUUAGUCAUGAAGCUGUAGUAGUAGUACACAAGCUUUAAACUCUGUUCAUACUUUAAAGAACACAGUUAGACCAUGAUUAUCGCUGAUCCUUAAUGGGUUUUUAAUCAAAAAAACUGAUUUAAUUAAAUCAAAACUAAUUAAAAGGAAAGUUACCGAUCCUUAAUUUGGGACUUUGGGGAUCGAUUACUAAUAGGGUUUUUGUUCCACCUGUCAACUUUCAAUCUUCUUCUUCUUCGGAAUCUCGUCAUUUCGAUCGAUCAAAAUCGGAGAUGGCUGCGGCGGUUCUGUUCUGGAGAGCGGCGGGGAAAGCCCCAGAAACCAGGGUGAGCCAGGUUUCUACUGGUUUGGAUUCAUUAUGUGCAUUAGUGCAACUGCAGCAAGAGCUUUUAAAUAUGUUCUUCAAGGCAUUUUACUUUCUUCCGAGGGAGAAAAGUUGAAUUCGAUGAGCUUAAUGUUGUACAUGUUCCCUAUAGCCGUCAUUGCGCUUCUACCCGUCACAAUAGUAAUGAAACCAAAUGUGAUGAGUGUGAUUCUAUCGCUGGCAAGACAACAUCGGUACAUGUGGAUACUUCUCUUGGUUACCAAGCACACAAGCAGGCUUAUCCUCCAGCUACUCAACAAUCGCAUGGGCAGCUUCGAUGAGUAAAGGCGUUCGCGAAGAUGUUGAAUAUGGUUACAAAGAAAAAUCAACAGUCGGUAUGGUUUUCAACUUCUUCAGCGGUUUAGGUGAUGUGGCAUUCGCUUACGCAGGCCAAAAUGUGGUCCUUGAGAUCCAAGCAACGAUCCCUUCGACUCCUUAGAAACCAUCAAAAGGCCCAAUGUGGAAAGGAGUCAUCGUUGCUUACAUCAUUGUUGCACUUUGUUAUUUUCCGGUGGCUCUCGUCGGAUACUACAAUUUUGGGAACAGUGUUGAAGAUAAUAUUCUCAUAUAUCACUUAAAAAGCCAGCUUGGUUAAUCGCGACCGCUAACAUCUUUGUCGUGAUCCAUGUUAUCGGUAGUUACCAGAUAUAUGCAAUGCCGGUUUUCGAAAUGAUGGAAACUUUAUUGGUUAAAAAGCUUAAUUUUAGACCAACCACGAUUCUCCGGUUCUGUGUUCGUAGUUUCUAUGUUGCUGCAACUAUGUUUCUUGGUAUGACGUUCCCGAUCUUUGGUGGCCUUUUGGCGUUCUUUGGUGGAUUCGCGUUUGCUCCUACGACAUACUUCAUAAGAUUGUGAUCUCUAAACUUUUUCUCCAUUUUGAAUUAGUUACUAAUAAUAGAAACUUACUCUAAUUUAAAUACCACUAUUGUUUUCAGCUACCUUGCAUAAUUUGGCUAGCCAUCUACAAACCUAGGAAGUACGGCUUGUCUUGGUGGGCCAACUGGGUAUGUAUCGCGUUUGGUAUUUUCUUAAUGGUCUUGUCGCCUAUUGGAGAGCUAAGGACGAUCGUUAUUCAAGCAAAGGAAUACCAGUUUUACUCGUAAAUGCGGUUUAAUAUGACUAAUGUUUAGAGACAUAUUUAUAUAUUAAUGUGUGUGAAGAAGAUUUUAAAAGAUUGUUGGGUAUGGGCCUAGCCCUCUCAAAAGGCCCACAAGACAAUUAUCCAGGUACAUGAUUACAACAAAGAGAGUCGGCUCGUCGACUUGCAAGCCGGCGAUCGGCUCGGCUUUAGACUACUUUUGGUCGCUGAGACGACUGACUGAAUGUCAUCGGCUCGACGACUUGACUCAGCGGCCCGACACCUCGGCCCAACUACUCGAGGAGGCCCAUCGAAACAGAGCGUAUUAGGUCAACAAGCAUUUGUCUAUAAAAGAAGGAGGAAAGGCAACAAGGAAGGGGAUCCGCAAAUCACUACACUUACUUUCGGCUAGACUUAUGGUUUUAUAUCUUACAUUUCGCCGACUUGUACGGUCCGACGAACUAGCCUUCGCCGGACUAUUUCCUUUGCUUUCUUCCCCUUUUGUAACACUAUUUCGACUCAUUGAUCUAAUAAAACACGUCUUUGUUUUGAUCCACCGACGAGAACUCGUCCUUUCUUUUUACUAGUUUAUCGACAGUCUCGGUUCAAACAAAGAUCAACAUGAAACAUAUAACAAUCCGUCUCUUAACUUUUAACUAAAAAAACUAAGAACCGGUUUUUAAAUAAGAUAUUUAAAAACUGGUUCUUAAUUUUUUUAGUUAAAAGUUAAGAGACGCUAAAAAUCCCACCCUAAAAACUCACUAAUAAUCAUGUUCUAAUAAUCUCUGGUCUGAGGAUUGAAUUUAUAAUAGCAUUUAGUGCUUGUGUCUUGGUGUGUUUAUAUCUAUCGACAAUAUAUUUUGUUGUGCCAAAAUAGAAUAUAUUUUGUUCUUCCUUAUUAUAAAAUGUUUGAUUAUUUAUGUUCUCAAGAAAAACUAGAUAUAUAUAUAUCCCUUUCUUAUUAAAGGAGGAGCAUUGAUAAAAAUAAACCUUGGCCUCAUGUGUUUAUUACAUGAGUGCCAUUUCCUAGGUGUCAUCACCACAUGCACUCUCACCAACUUUUUUUAAAAACCCUUUCUCAACUAGAAUAGUUACAAACAAAUACCACUGGUCAUUACAUUAUACUAUAUGGUUUUCGGAUUUCAAAAAUAACUUUCGGAUUAUGUUUGUGGUAAGUCAUUAAUGCUUGAUUAAAUUCAGAUUCCAAAAAAAAA